rnacentral:miRNA from 16 species
CUUGGCACUUGAGGAAUUCUCUG